GAUGAACGCUGGCGGCGUGCCUAAUACAUGCAAGUCGAGCGAACAGACGAGGAGCUUGCUCCUCUGACGUUAGCGGCGGACGGGUGAGUAACACGUGGAUAACCUACCUAUAAGACUGGGAUAACUUCGGGAAACCGGAGCUAAUACCGGAUAAUAUAUUGAACCGCAUGGUUCAAUAGUGAAAGACGGUUUUGCUGUCACUUAUAGUUGGAUCCGCGCCGCAUUAGCUAGUUGGUAAGGUAACGGCUUACCAAGGCAACGAUGCGUAGCCGACCUGAGAGGGUGAUCGGCCACACUGGAACUGAGACACGGUCCAGACUCCUACGGGAGGCAGCAGUAGGGAAUCUUCCGAAAUGGGCGAAAGCCUGACGGAGCAACGCCGGGUGAGUGAUGAAGGUCUUCGGAUCGUAAAACUCUGUUAUUAGGGAAGAACAAAUGUGUAAGUAACUAUGCACGUCUUGACGGUACCUAAUCAGAAAGCCACGGCUAACUACGUG
rnacentral:rRNA from 1 species